UAGGGAAUCUUCGGCAAUGGACGAAAGUCUGACCGAGCAACGCCGCGUGAGUGAAGAAGGUUUUCGGAUCGUAAAACUCUGUUGUUAGAGAAGAACAAGGACGUUAGUAACUGAACGUCCCCUGACGGUAUCUAACCAGAAAGCCACGGCUAACUACGUGCCAGCAGCCGCGGUAAUACGUAGGUGGCAAGCGUUGUCCGGAUUUAUUGGGCGUAAAGCGAGCGCAGGCGGUUUCUUAAGUCUGAUGUGAAAGCCCCCGGCUCAACCGGGGAGGGUCAGUGGAAACUGGGAGACUUGAGUGCAGAAGAGGAGAGUGGAAUUCCAUGUGUAGCGGUGAAAUGCGUAGAUAUAUGGAGGAACACCAGUGGCGAAGGCGGCUCUCUGGUCUGUAAAUGACGCUGAGGCUCGAAAGCGUGGGGAGCAAACAGG
rnacentral:rRNA from 1 species